GAUGAACGCUAGCGGCAGGCCUAACACAUGCGAGUCGAGGGAGAAGCCUUUCGGGGCAGAAACCGGCGCACGGGUGCGUAACGCGUAUGCAACCUACCUUUCACAGGGGGAUAGCCCGAAGAAAUUUGGAUUAAUACCCCAUAAUAUUGUUGGAUGGCAUCAUCUGAUAAUUAAAACUGCGGUGGUGAAAGAUGGGCAUGCGUCCUAUUAGCUAGUUGGAGUGGUAACGGCACCCCAAGGCUACGAUAGGUAGGGGUCCUGAGAGGGAGAUCCCCCACACUGGUACUGAGACAGGGACCAGACUCCUACGGGAGGCAGCAGUGAGGAAUAUUGGUCAAUGGUCGGAAGACUGAACCAGCCAUGCCGCGUGCAGGAAGAAUGCCUUAUGGGUUGUAAACUGCUUUUAUAUGGGAAGAAUAAGGUGUACGUGUACAUUGAUGACGGUACCAUAUGAAUAAGCAUCGGCUAACUCCGUG
rnacentral:rRNA from 1 species